rnacentral:rRNA from 1 species
GACGAACGCUGGCGGCGUGCCUAAUACAUGCAAGUAGAACGCUGAAGGAGGAGCUUGCUUCUCUGGAUGAGUUGCGAACGGGUGAGUAACGCGUAGGUAACCUGCCUGGUAGCGGGGGAUAACUAUUGGAAACGAUAGCUAAUACCGCAUAAGAUUGACUAUUGCAUGAUAGUCAGUUAAAAGGUGCAAUUGCAUCACUACCAGAUGGACCUGCGUUGUAUUAGCUAGUUGGUGGGGUAACGGCUCACCAAGGCGACGAUACAUAGCCGACCUGAGAGGGUGAUCGGCCACACUGGGACGGAGACACGGCCCAGACUCCUACGGGAGGCAGCAGUAGGGAAUCUUCGGCAAUGGACGGAAGUCUGACCGAGCAACGCCGCGUGAGUGAAGAAGGGUUUCGGAUCGUAAAGCUCUGUUGUAAGAGAAGAACGAGUGUGAGAGUGGAAAGUUCACACUGUGACGGUAUCUUACCAGAAAGGGACGGCUAACUACGUG